UACGAAGGGGGCGAGCGUUGUUCGGAUUUACUGGGCGUAAAGGGCGCGUAGGCGGCGCGAGAAGUCGAGUGUGAAAGCCCCGGGCUCAACCUGGGAAUUGCGCUCGAUACUCUUGUGCUUGAGUUCGGGAGAGGAGCGUGGAAUUCCCAGUGUAGAGGUGAAAUUCGUAGAUAUUGGGAAGAACACCGGUGGCGAAGGCGGCGCUCUGGGACGGUACUGACGCUGAGACGCGAAAGCGUGGGGAGCGAACAGG
rnacentral:rRNA from 1 species